CUAACAUACCAGAAUACACGUAUACAGAACACUGGUAAGAUUCCUGAUUACUUACACAUGUAGAAACCACAACCUUAAUUUCAGCAAUUCAGUUUCAGGUACAUUCCCAGACAACCUACGUGAAAUCAAAAGCAGAGAUGGAAAGAUCAGAAGUAAACACUGGAAAGAGAAGCAGGCUACAGGGGAACAUGGAUGUUUGAAAAAAACUUCUUCUAUUAUGAGCUUAACUGCUCCUGCUGUGAAUUGCAGGGCAUACUUUCUUCCCCCCUUCUGUUCCUGAGGAGGGGGAGCGACAGAGCAGUUGCGGUGGAGUUCAGCUGCCCAGCAUAGUAAAACCUCCACAGGCUCCCAUCUCUUCAGAUCUCCUGUGUCAUUCUGGCUAUACUGCUUCUUCUGUGCCUCUGCCUCCCAGCCUUCCCAGAUUUUGGGAAGGAAGAAUGACUGAUCUUUCGUUCGUCCUGUCUGAGGGGUCCACGUUGAUCUGAUCACAGUUUUCCAAGCUUUUCUGAGGUGAAACAGCACGAGGGAGAAGGCAGCAGACUGUUGGGGCAGAGUACUGCACUGAAAUGGUUUGCCAUUAAAUAGACAGAAUAUCCCGCCUCCAGCUUGAGCCCCGCCAGUCAAACCAGCAUCACUCUCUAGCACGCCAUUUUUUUUGUCCUAGGUCACAUUUUGAAGGUGCUUCAACUUUUAUGACUCAGCAAAGUUUAACAAAUUGACCAUCCUUCAGAUUUUGCAAGGUUGGUGGGCUGAUAAGUGGGAGUCAGGAUUCCAGCUAUGGCUUCAAAAACAUUGCAAUGAAUAAUUGCCCCUCGAAGAAGAAUGGUUGGCAGGAGCAUCAAAAAUUAUUUAUUUCUGAGCUCAGACAAGAGGUAGAAAUUGCACCAGCUUAACAUUUGACAGACCAGAAAGUGACUUCCAAUUUUCUCAAAAGUCAGAAAAUGCUUCUGCCUGUGAAUAACAGGGAAAAGCAGAAAACAGCUGACUGCCACAAGGGAAUACCACGUGUCGACAAUCCCAUCUACCGCCUAAUCUACCAAGAAAACUAAACAGAAGUGAAGAAUAAAAAGUGAAUAAAAGUUAGUUGUUUUUAAGAGUAUGAAAUAUAUUUUAGAUACAGGAGUCUGAUUUUCAAGCUGGUACCAGUUUAGCUCCUGUUUAAACCCGCUGAACUCUUUACUUAACAUUAUUACUUCAAACAUUUAAGUACAUAAUGAAAAAUAGCAUUUCUGUCUGUAUCUAGGAAACAAGGAUGGCUCAAGGUUAUGCAUAACCACACAAAAGUUUUUUAAAAAUUGUUGUUCUCCCAACAAAGGGCUCCAGCUGUACUACAUGCAGGUACCUACUCACAGCUGGUGGGAACACUGCACAUGGCCCACCUACUGAACAGCUUUCUACUUGAGAUGCUGCUGAGUGAAACAAAGAUCCAGAGCCUUGCAUAAUAAAAUGAAAGCUGUUCCACUGCCUCUCUGCCCGGGACAGAAGGCUUCGCUGUCUGACAGAAAACAACUGAAAGAUUUCAAUGCCAAACUGAAAGCCGACCGUGAUGAACUAAACUCCUUGUGUCCUGUCAAUUGUUCAGCCACCCAGCUUACCAAACAGUUUUACUCUGGAGUUGAUAUUGAUGAUACCUAGAGAGAAAACCGAGGAGAGCAGCCUGAUUUACUGUCCACAUGCAGCCAUCUCUUCCACAGUAGCUUCGGGAGUAACAGAAGCUUCCACUGUGAUAGAUGGGACUUCAGAUGUGAGAAAUAUAAGGGCAUGCUCUUUGCCACAGUAGUGUUACUCAUUCCUGAGUAUGUAGGUGAAAAAUAAGCAACCUCAUUCUUAAGAAAUGGGUGUGUUUAUUUCCUCAUUUACAUUAAAAAAAUGGGUUCUUAUUGGCUCUCUUCUUAGGGAGCGUACCUGGAAAUGCAACUGAUGGCCUGUUCCAUGUGGAAACCCAGAGAUGGAUUUUAGAGUAUUUGUGUAAUACAACUUUAGUAAAUGAUUUUCAUGUAGUUAUUUCUUUGCAUUAUUAUUGAGUCAGCAUCAUAUAUUGCAACAUCAGCCUGGAUGGGUGGCUGCAUUGGCUUUGCUAUCGCAGUUUAUGUUUGUUUUGCAAACAAACAGUUCUAUGCAGAUCAUUUUUACCAGCCUGUGUGCUAUGAAGUUUAUCCCAUGCUCAUUUCAUGAACAAUUCCUUACGCUGUUCUUACACAACACUAUAAUAUCUCUUCUCAGCAAGAGUAAAGGCCAGAAUAACAGUUAAAUCUGAGUGAGUUAGAUUUCUGCUGGAAUAAAAAAUGUC